AGACUGCCUGAGUCUUCUGACCUUCAUCUUUCCCCUGUGUUGGAUGCCUCCUGCCCUCAAACAUCAGACUCCAGGUUCUUCAGCUUUUGGACUCUUGGACCUACCCCCCGAGUGGUUUGCCAGGGGCUCUCAGGCCUUCGGCUACAGACUGAGGGCUGCAUUAUCAGCUUUCCUACUUUUGAGGUUUUGGGACUUUACUGGCUUUCUUGCUCCUCAACUUGCAGAUGGCCUGUUGUGGGACCUCACCUUGUGAUCAUGUACAUGAGGGAAAUACACACCCCUCCCAGGGAUGAUGGAAGGUUAAGGUCCUAACACCUCCUGCACAUCUGAGCAGCUGCACAUUGAACCAGAUAGUCCUGGAAUGUGGGAAAACAGAGGCAGACUCAAGAGUCUGGAACAUUAUUUUAGGAUCACACAAAAAAGAUACAUAAUUUUCAUAGGGUGAGUCUGUUACAGCAAUGGGAUGCCCAGGUUAAGUUUAUGGAAAGACAUUGACCUUGGAGCCAGACUGCACCAGAAAUGAUACUGAAAGCAUCUCAAAAAUAAAAUCACGAGUAUCUGCAGAUCACUAUGAGACUGGACUGGAACAUUACCUUCAGGUGUGUUGCUUCGCCUUUGGAGAAUGCCAUCUGCCAGAUAUGGGAUCAACCUCUUAAGUCUAACAUAGCAAAGAAUAUCCCCCAUACCAUUUUACUGAAGAAAAACAACAAACAGCAGUUCCUUCCGCCACACUGGGUCUUAGCACAUGCAGAGCUGUGGAGUCCUGUCUGUGCACAGAGACAGGCAUUGACAGGUGGAGUCAGCUUCUCCACCACUGACAUCUUUCCAAGUCAGUGCUGUGCUAUGUCUGCAAAUGAGAAAGGGGCAGCCUGGAUGAUGCUAUAAUUGGCAGUACCAACUCCAUGGAAAUAUUCAGAGGCUUCAGCUGUCAUUUUAAAACUGUCCUUCAGGUGGUGCCAUGUCAAAGGGAAGGGACCUGCACGACUGCCCAAGGUUCCAGAUACCUUAAGAGUUAAGCAGGGAUUGGAUGCUGGGGUUCCCGUGUUCAUUUGCCCCUUUAUUCAACUAGUGCUUACUAAGUGCUUAAUGCAUCCCAAAUUAUGGAAGGACCUGGGAACAUAUGUAAGACACUAUUCAUGCUUUCAAGUUGCUUGUAGUUUAGUCAAGGAGCCAGCUUAGCAUCUAAAACCAUGCAACCCCAAUUUCUAACCACCAGUCAACUCUCCAACACAUUGAUAUGACUACAUGCUGGACAUUUUCUUGCGGAAAUCCAAAAGAAAUCCCCAUUUUCUUGCAGAAAUCUAAAAUAAUCUCCCCUAUGUGCAAGUCAGACUGAGCACCACUCCCAAGACCAUGACCUCCCCUGCAGCCCUGCUCCUUCCCACUCACCUCUCCUCUUGAGAAAGCCACCUCCCACCACCCAGUCUGCAGUGCCAGAAAACUGGAAACCAGCCCCUAAGCUGCUUUCACCUUCGGCCCAUUUCUCACUAGCCAGCCUCUCCCACGGCCUCCCCAGUUUCUUCAAAUACACCCCCUCCACUAUUCACCAUACUGCCACCGUGAUUUAUUUACAACUUUUUGUCCGGAUUACCUCAGUAGCCUUCUAAUUGUCCCCUUUGCAUCUAAAGUAGCCCCUCUCAUCCCCCAAAUCUUACGUCACUCUUCUACAUAAUUCUGGCUUUCCAUGACCCAUAAACCACAUUUCUCAAGUGUGCUCUAUGCUGGCUUGAAUAUGUUAAUAAUCUUAAUUCUACUUUUAGUGCAAUUUUCUUAGAGCUGGCAUCACUUUCAUCAUGACGUGAGAACUUACUAGAGAUAGGCAAUGAUGACUCACAGUCAAGCCACAUGUCAUAUGCUGCAGACAUCUGGACUGCUGCUUAUUUGCAAAUCCUUUUCUUCAUAUUUUUCUCAUUUGUAGCACUGGAUCAAUUCCAAUUAAGAGUUUAAUAAUGAAUUAACUAAUGAUUUAAACAGGUGGAUAAGACUAACACUGAACCAAUGAUUUUAAGUAAAUCUAAAUACAUAAAUCCCCCCAAAUUAUUAAUCUAUGUUGUUUACUAAGAAGUGUAUUAAAAUGAUAUUGAAAAAGUUUGCUUUGGGAAAGAGCUAGAAGUUAGAAGGUCUAGGUUCAAAUCCCGCCUCUACUCCAUCCUUGACUAAGAUGUUGGACCCAUCACCUCAACUUUCCUUGGGUCUUUUUGCCCAGACAUGACCCGAUGACACAGAGCUUACCUGGACCUCCACAAUAGUAAAUAGAACAGGGCCAGCAAACCAAAAUUUGUUGAGUCCUUUAGAAUUAAGUAGCUUAGAUAAAUUUUCAUCAAAAUCUUUAUAUAGUAGGGAAUAGAAAAAAGUCAAUUCUGUUUUAUUUGAGGAUGUAUGAAUAUGUUACCAUUUUUCAGACUCUGAUUUACCUUCCAAUUAUUGUUUAUUGGGGUCAUUGUAAAUUAGUUAUCAUUUUUUGAAUACACAUUCACUGCUGACAAAGUGGUGAAGCCAGAAGUUAUGUUUGACCAGGGAAGAUUAUGACCCUCAAAGGAGAAAAAUUCACAGGGGGUAGUUGAUUAUUGGUGGAAUGGAGUGAGAGUGAAUUCCUUAAAAGUUUAAACGAAAGCAGAACUAUAUUCAUAUCAUGGAGGGAACUUAGUUUCUAAUAUGAUGAACUAUUGCCCCAAGUCAUGACAAUACCUUGCUCUCUGGAAGAGAAUGAGUGAGUUUUUCAUCCGCCAAGAUACACACUCUAUAUUUCCAACCAUCACAUCUGCCUUGCAGGCUGACUGAACCCAGAGCAAAUCAAUCACAAAAGUUAAUCCAAAAGACUUCCCUUCAGCUGCUGGAAAUCAGUCAUCACAUCUGUGAAAAGAGUGCUAGUUAUAACAAAUGAGAUCACAAAUUUGACCAUUUUAUUAGACACCCUCUAUUAGUGUUAACAGACAAAGAUGAAGGUUAAGUUGAAAUCAAAUUGAAAUCUUCUUCCCUCUGUACAGAUUGCAAUAUCUGAUAAUACCCUCAACUUUCUUGGUGCAAAUUAAUUGCCUGGUACUCACAGUCCAGUGUUAACAGGCAAUAAUGGUGUGAUUCCAGAGGAGAGUACUAGGUGGCAGGAAAAUAAAUGAGAUUAGCAGUAUUUGACUUGGAGCCAUAGGCAUCAAUUCUGCUCCAGCUGUCGACCAGGUUCUAAAAACAAGACUCGGAGCAGCUUUUGCUCUUGCUAGUGAUGCAGGGCCAGGAGAGCCCCCACACUCUGCAUUUGCAGGUGUCCAUGAGGGGAAGCCACUCCUGCAUUUAUCCUGUGAGUGGAGAAGCUCAGAGGAAUGAGGACAUUCCAACAGGGUAUCAGAAUUCUCUUUUGUUUAUGCUAAUUGACAGCAGGAACAUCACCAUCUUGGACAAACACCACCAUUUUAAGUUCUCUUUUAUUUAAAAACUGCCUAAAUCCAGCCCCAAAACAUCAGCCUAAUGGCUAUUGUCAGCAUAAUCAGAAACAUUCCAACCCUAAGAUAAACACCCCUCUGGCCAGAAAUAUGCCGACCCCGAGACAGCCUCCCCUCCGACCAGAGACAUUCCAAACCCGCAGUAAACUUUCCUUCACAUGGAAACAUUCCAAACCUACAAAAAGCUUCCCUCUUCCUAAACCCUUAAAUAUCCUUAGUCUGCAAGAGAGAAUGCUCCUGACUGAAAUCAGCCAGAAGCCCCUCUCAGGUUUAUUCUCCAAAAUAAACCUGUCUUUGACUGUUGAGCCACUUUUUGUGUUUCUUUCCUCUUUGUUUAACCCUUACACUAAUGUUAAAUUUACAUAACAUUGAGUACUUCAUGCUUUCCAGAGAAUAAGGAGAAUGCACAUGAACUAAUGCAAAGUUACACAGGUAAUGUGACUUCAUCAUUAGCAUAUGGUGUUAUACAAAUAAAUUAUCCAAACUUUUGAAAUUGAUAUAUUUAUCAAUGGUAAAGCUAAUAAUUAUCAUUAACUGGAACCUUCCAUGUGCAAAAUACUACAUGUCUUAUGUCAUAAUCCUCAAAACCUGCAAACUAUUAUUAUUUACGUUUUAUAGAUAAGGAAACUAAUGAUCAGUGAGAUUGAAUCAACUGUUUUAAGUCAUCUAUAUAGUCAAUGAGACUAUAUUGACACCAGGUCAGUUUGAUUCCAAAUUAUAUGCUUUAUACCAUAUUGUGAUAAUAUAUACUUAGAGUUUCUACUUCUCUUGAGUUACACCAUGACCACCAUAAACUCAACCUGUCACUCAAAACAACAGAAAUGACAAUCCAAAGAUUCUGUAUUUGUAGGUUGAGGAUCAACUCAAAUAGUUACCUAAGUCCCAGACCAUUGUAGAAAACAUGGAUCUCCUAAAAUAGGAUGACAAGGCCAAGACCACCUUCGCCAGAUGGAGGCAGCAGAGAUCAGAGGAUUUGUAUACAGAAUCGCGCAGUCCCAGCUAAGUGAGGGCAGCUUGUCAACAGUAUAGGUAUAGGAAUACAAGAACGUGAAGUUGAUACACAGCUUUAGUCCUCACCUAAAAUCAUAUUGGAGACAUGGAGCAAGGUCAGUGAAGGGACAUUCAGCCAGAAAUGAGGAGGAAGAGGUCAAGAUGAACAGCAGGAGUCAGGAGUCUGUGUGUGAGCCAGUGAACCAGGAAGUCUCAGCCAGGUCAGCUGACCCAAAGGGAAAUCAGCUGCAUGGUCACUGUGCAGCUGAGUUUGAGUUGCAUGUUAUUCAUCUGCAUGGUCACUGUGCAACUGAGUUUGAAUGGCAUGUUAUUCAUCUUUUUUUCCAUAAGUGAGAAGUGUUUUAAGCUGGUAACUUUCUAGAUACCCACUUUAAUGUUAAUAGAUUUUUUUUCCAUCCCAAAAGGGAUGAAUGCAAAGGCCCUAGCAAGAACACAGCUAUCAUUUUCCACUGGAGUUAUUAUCCAGGGAUGGGGGUGGUGAACUCAUCCUGGCUCAUAAUGUGUUAGAAGAUAAAUCACUCCUUCUAAGUAAAAGCAAACCUUUCAGUGGUAUUUCUAGGAGAACACAUGCUGCCUGGUGAGCAGAGGUUACUCAGGAAUAUGCUGGUAAAUUGAGAGAAACCAUCCUCAUCUCCCACUCUCCAACACCCUCUGUUUUAAGAGCAGGAAAUUCGCUUCAAGGAAACAAGAACUCAUAGGGGUAGAAAGGAGCCCAGAGAUCACCUAGCUCAACUGUGCACUUUAUGAAUGUGAAAAUAAGAUACUGAGAAGGUGUUAAAUGCCAUUAGUUCACUAUCUUGCCUGUAUUGCAACAUCGGCCUUCUGUUUCCCUGUUGAGUUCUUUACUACAUGCUUAAAGCAACAUCAGACACGUAGGGGAGGCUGCACAGAAAGCAGAAGGCCAGUGAAGAAGGUUUACACAAUUCUCCAGAAAACAUAAAAGAGAAAAGGAUUGAAACUGACUCUUACGUUUUCAGAGAGAUAAAAUAUAAACAAGAAAAAUUUGAAAUUUAACCCCAGAAGACAGAUAAGAUCCUAUUAGUUUAAUCAAAAAGUUGGUAACACAAACACAUGACUAAGAUAAAGGGGCAUAAAAUGUACCUUACCCCCACCCCCAACAAAAAAAUCUAAUCUCAUCUAAGAUGCAGAAGAAAACAACUAUAAAUCAAGAAGAUACACAACUUAGGAGAAAUCUACCAGCCUGAAGCCAUCAAUAGUGUGGGGAACAUUUGGUUAAGGAUAAAUGGAGAGGAAGCUUAGCUGAUACAGUUUUAGAAUUGAGGUUAUGGAUGAUGUUAUCCUGGUACACAGACCUAGUAUCACAAACCUGACAGAGAAAUAAGAUCUAGUAGCAGCAAGGAAUUCCAACUAUGGACAUUUGCUGGAAGUCUCAUUCUCAGAAUAUCUGAUAAAUCCCUGGCUUGUCUUAUUGACAAUUUAAUCUCCCAGAACAGUGAGGUAAAAUUCAAUUCUCGAAUCAAAUAAAGGAGUUAUCCAAAAUUUUUCUUUUAUGGUAGUGUUUCUUAAGGAAUCAUUGGCCAACAUUGCAAAACCCAGUCUCUACUAAAAAUACAAAAAUUAGCUGGGCAUGGUGGCACGUGCUUGUAAUCUCAGCUACUCAGGAGGCUGAGGCAGGAGAAUUGCUUGAACCCAGGAGGCAGAGGUUGCAGUGAGCCGAGAUUACACCCCAGCCUGGGUGACAAGAGCAAAACUCCGUCCCAAAAAAAAAAAAAAAAAAAAAAAAGAUCCAUGAACCACUACUGGGUGUUCACAAGGUUAACAUGUUUUUUUGAAAAAUACUAUCACAUUUUUUAUUUUCACUCCUUUAAUAUUUGCAUGAAAGGUGCGAAAGCAAUGGUGAGUAAAACAUCCGUCCUUAGCAUAAAUCAACUAGUGGCAUCUAAUUGUCUGGUGGUCAUUUGAUUCUUCGCUACCACACACUCAAAUAAAUCAAUAUAUAAAUAAGUAAGCAGAAGCCACUGUUGUUUGUUCAAGAAUGUCCUAAUGAAGCAGUGGAAGUAUUAAUUUUAUUAAAUCUUGACCCUUGAGUACAGAUCUUCUUAAUAGUUUGUAUGGCAACAUGGAAAGUACACCACAGCUAAGGUAUGUCAAACUACAAUGAUUGUCUCAAGAAGAAGCAUCUGUGCAAUCAUUUGAGUUGCAAGCUGAACUAGCCACUUUUUUUUUUCAUGGAACUACCUUUUUAUUUGAAAAAUUAGCUAACAAAGUAUAUGUAUUCAGGUUUGGUCAUUUAGCAGGCUUUUCUUGAAAUAAAAGGAGAGAGUGUGUAAUGUCAAGGAAAAGAAUUGAUAGUAUUUGUGGUCUAAUAAAACUUCAGUUUUCUGGUGAAAUUAGAAUUUCUGAAAACUUUUACUCACCAAGAUGACCCUGACGGUGGCAAAUAUUUGAACACUUUUCUAGUGAUGUCAAUGGUGGGUUUUUUGAUAUCAUACAAUUACAUGUGUAAACAUUUGAAAAACCAAAUGCAUGAUGUUGCAAAAUCAUGCAUGAGUAAAAAGUAGCAUUCAAAGUGCAAGACAGACUAAUGGAUUUUAAUGCAAAAGAGUAUGCAAAAUUUAUCAAUAGGUUUCCAAUUUCAUAUCACAAGCAACUUUAAGAAAACAUUACUACUCAAAAUUGUUGUUGUUAACGUCAAUAAAGAAUAUCCGCAGUUAACUGAAAAGGCUGUAAAAUAACCCUCUCAUUUUAACCCAUUUAUGCCUGAGGUUGCAAUUUUUUGAAUUUGAAAAAUCAGACCUUGGUGAUGGCCUUGAGCAGUAGGAUAUAAAUAACUCCCACAUGCUUAGCGUUCCAAUAAUGGAACAGUAGGCAUAAAUGGCACCAACAAUUUUGACUAUAAACUACCUAUUUGAGUUUAUAUUUUCUUCAUUUACUUCAGCCAAAGCAAUAGCACAGCAGACUAAAUGCAGAAUCAGAUACGAGAAGCCAGACACCAAAGAAAUUCAUAGAAAUUAAAACAAUACUAUUCUUUCCACUAAUUAUUUUUAAAAUGUCAUAUAAAAUUGGCGUGUCAUAUAACAACAUCAUAUAAAAUUCAAUAUAAAUUUCAAUGAGUUCAUUGCUAUUUUUAAAUUAAUUCUCUAAACAUUUUUAUGGUAAAUGUCAAUAAUAACUCACAUUAGUGAAAGCUCUUUGGGGUCCUCCAUCAUUUUUAAAGGCAUAAAGGGAUCCUGAGAUGAAAAUGUUUCAUAACCUCUGUUUCAUGAUAGCCCCAACCUCCACCAUUCCCAGCAAACCUAUUUCCCUUAACUUGCUUAAUUUUUUCCGUAGCACUCAGCCCCUCCUAGCAUAUUUUGCUUUGAUUCUCUGUUUGAUGUUUAUCUCCCACAACUGGAAUCUUUACUCCAUGGUGAAGGAACCUUGUCAUAGUUUUGUGCACUCUUCUAUUCUUGGUGCAGAAGAUAUCCUGGCAUAUAGUAGGCACUCAAUGAAUAUUUGUUGAGUGAAUGACUUAAGUGAAUGAUUAAUAAUAUCUGUCCUUCAAAGGCUUCCCGCCACCAGCCCUCCCAUUUUUAUGGUGCAAGUCUCUAGGAUUUUCCAUCAGUGUCUGUCUGAACUUGAGCAGACCCACAGUUGCUACCCGAGACAUGCUUGACCUUGCCUGUUUAUACCCCUCUGCAAGGAGAGCUCAGUGCAUACUGUAGAUGAUUUUUCACCUGGAAAAGUCUCUUUAAAACUCAGAGCACUAUGUCAGUCUUGUAUCCAAACAUCCUAAAGUAUUUCCAUUUCCUUUUAGUAAAAUUACAGAGCAGCACUUCAGGCACUGCCAGACGCCUUGGUCUCGAACUGCGACCACUAAUUGUCUACUCAGACUAUGUUGCUUUAACGAGGGAAAGUCGAAGCUUCUUCACCUAACGAUAACACUAAUCUCAAAAUCACAAGCUUAUAGCUUAAGACAAAUUCAGAAAAAUGUCUGGGAGUAUUAUUUAAAAAGUACAAGCUCACUAUGAGUGAAACAGAUUAUGAUACAAUCUUGUGCUGUGCCCAUUAAGGAUAGUGUUGACCAAAAAAAAAAAAAAUUAGUGCUUUUGCACAUAAUUUGUACUGGCAAAGCCACAUUUCCAAAGAAGGAGUCAUAAAU
rnacentral:lncRNA from 1 species